UACGUAGGGUGCAAGCGUUGUCCGGAAUUGUUGGGCGUAAAGAGCUCGUAGGCGGCUUGUCGCGUCGAAUGUGAAAACUCGGGGCUCAACCCCGAGCCUGCAGUCGAUACGGGCAGACUAGAGUGCGGUAGGGGAGACUGGAAUUCCUGGUGUAGCGGUGAAAUGCGCAGAUAUCAGGAGGAACACCGGUGGCGAAGGCGGGUCUCUGGGCCGUAACUGACGCUGAGGAGCGAAAGCGUGGGGAGCAAACAGG
rnacentral:rRNA from 1 species